UCAAUAUACUCAGCAUUUAUUCAUGAUAUCAAAUACCUAUUUAUGGUGCUUAAAGAUAUUUGUUUGCUUAUUUUUACACGUAGCUUACGGAAUGUUUUUGUUUUGAUAUUACUAAUUUUUAUCGUUAUCAAAUAUGUAUUGAAAUAUGUAUGUAAUAUGGUUGGUAACAUUAAGAACGCUGAUGCGACAACGACUACCGCGAUUCUGAAUUUAAUAUAAAUUUUCAUUAAAAAGUUCGCACUUUUUCAUUUAUUACUUAAUUUCUAAACGUACGAUUUUGAUGAUUUUCACAAAAGCACGUUCUACACAAUAGUUUUGAUGUUAUGGAGUUUAUUAGGAGUUAAUUGAUGCAUUAGAAAACUAGUUAUGUCGCUUAACAAAUUUACCUGUAUUUUACACAGUUUAAAUAGACAACUUCUACUCCGGUAUACUAUACACACACCGUCGUAAAGUUAUUUUUAUUUUUUUACAUAGCUCGCGCAACGACACAGACGUACACAGACGUGUUUGACUCGUGUACAUUGGUAUGGUAUGACAAGACGGCAAAGCAUCACCCGGCCGAUGACGUCGCAUUAUUAAAUUGCGACGAUCCAAAUAUCUAGGUCUCCAUUCAUCGGUAUACUCUACCAACGUCUCGAAGGAUUUAAUCAGAAGUCAGCCGAGUUAGCGGCAACAUUUACGAAUAACGAUAGACAGCCUAUUAUAUUGGGAUUGUCUUGGAUCCGCAAUCUACCUGAGAAUAUACUGCUCGCGUAAUCACAAACGAAUCUAAUAUAAUCUAAUUUGGUUCGCGGAAUCGCGAAAUGUCGGAGGUGUCACCGACCACGUUCUUCAUCCCCCCCACUUGUGACACCACGGGAGGGACGACGAUCACCGCAUCGUAAGGACGAAGAAGACUAUACGGACAAGUACGAGACUGCUAGGGCGGCGGACUCCGGUCGGCCCGCCAAAAGACGAACAUCCCACCUACUCAUGGAAAAAAGGAAAAACAUUAAAUUGUAAAUUGUUAUGUUAUGUCAUGUAUGAAGGGGGGUAAGUCGCGGGGAAUUGUCCCGUCUACCCCCCACGUAUGUAUAUAUAUUGUUGUUUACUUCAAUAAACGACGGUGGCGUCGCGGAAGUAAUGCGCAAGCAAUUCCCGCGGCGCCGUCGGUUCAAAACUGGAAAAAAAAAAAAAAAAUAUAAUCUAAUUUACACAUAAAAAGACAUUGCUUCCACAGCGAGUUAUACUUUGAAAAAGGAGUUGAACAAUCACAAUUUUUUUCCGGGCAACGCCGGCCUAAGGUCUAAGGUACACGCGGCGGGUACCUGCUGCGGUUUCCAUCGGCGUUUGUUAUGCGUUUGCCCUCGUCGUCGUCGUCGUCGUCGUCGUCGCAGUUUCUGUCCGCUCGCACACGCGGAAUAAUCGGACGCGAGUCGUCUUUUCGUUUUCGGGUCUCGACGGCCCGAAAAAAAAUUACACGGAGUGUGCAGACGGCCGCGCCACGUAUAACGCGGUUCAGGUAUAAGUUUUGAGGUAUACCGCACCGCGUACAGUCGCGUCGCCGCCGUCGCCGUUUGCGUGUUGAUGAUCGCGGCCUGCACGUCGACGGAUCGCCGCAAAGUUUAGAAGGAAUCGAAAAUAAAAGGUACCAAGUUUAAUUUGGCUGAGUUGAAAUAAUUUCUUACUAUCACGUGGACUCAUUAACUUUUCCAUAUUGUCCAAUACCUAUGAAACAUUGAGGGAGAAUAUCGUUUUGUUAUUGAUAAAUUAUAUCCGUGUGGAUCAAGAAAAAACCAUACAAUUCAAUUUAAUUACUAUUCUAGUAAAAAGGCAUCAAAUAUAACUGAAAUAA
rnacentral:misc_RNA from 1 species